GAUGAACGCUGGCGGCGUGCCUAAUACAUACAAGUCGAGCGAACGGACGAGAAGCUUGCUUCUCUGAUGUUAGCGGCGGACGGGUGAGUAACACGUGGAUAACCUACCUAUAAGACUGGGAUAACUUCGGGAAACCGGAGCUAAUACCGGAUAAUAUUUUGAACCGCAUGAUUCAAAAGUGAAAGACGGUCUUGCUGUCACUUAUAGAUGGAUCCGCGCUGCAUUAGCUAGUUGGUAAGGUAACGGCUUACCAAGGCAACGAUGCAUAGCCGACCUGAGAGGGUGAUCGGCCACACUGGAACUGAGACACGGUCCAGACUCCUACGGGAGGCAGCAGUAGGGAAUCUUCCGCAAUGGGCGAAAGCCUGACGGAGCAACGCCGCGUGAGUGAUGAAGGUCUUCGGAUCGUAAAACUCUGUUAUUAGGGAAGAACAUAUGUGUAAGUAACUGUGCACAUCUUGACGGUACCUAAUCAGAAAGCCACGGCUAACUACGUG
rnacentral:rRNA from 1 species